GAAUACAGAUGCCUGUCGAGCUUGCUCACGGGCUUUCUAUCAUAUCCAUAACACCUGUGCACUUGUUGGAUGUCUAGAGACGUAAAGUCGACAGUCAUCCACUUACACUAAACAAUAAUGUAACAAAUGUAGUCUUAUUAUAACAAAAUAAAACUUUCAACAACGGAUCUCUUGGCUCU
rnacentral:misc_RNA from 1 species